UAGGUACAGCAGAUGAUUGCUAGCAAUUGCUAGAGGAAAGUCUGGGCUGCAAUAAGACAAGGUUCCAUCUAACGGAUGGCUGGGGUAACCCAAGGGAUAGUGCAACAGAAAGUAUACCGCCACAUUUGUGGUAAGGGUGAAACGGUAAGGUAAGAGCUUACCAGUGCUUUGAGUAAUCUCAGCAGCUAUGUAAACCCAACCUGCAGCAAGAAGUGUAUGGUAUAAGUCUUAUGAUUUUGCACUUUGCUAAAGGACUAUUGUAAAAUAGUCAUUAGAUAAAUAAUCAUCCAACGACAGAAUCCGGCUUAUCGCUGUACCUAUCUU
rnacentral:RNase_P_RNA from 1 species